AGCCUGCCCACUGAUUGAAUUUAAAGGGCCGCGGUAUACUGACCGUGCGAAGGUAGCAUAAUCAUUAGUCUUUUAAUUGAAGGCUUGUAUGAAUGGUUGGACAAAAAGUAAGCUGUCUCAGUUAUAAUAAUUGAAUUUAACUUUUAAGUGAAAAGGCUUAAAUGGAUUAAGGGGACGAUAAGACCCUAUAAAGCUUGACAAUAAGUUAAUUAUAUUAUAAAUUGUUAGUAUAACUUGAUUUUAAUUGACGUUUGUUACGUUGGGGCGACGAGAAUAUAAUGAGUAACUGUUCUUAAAUGUUUAUUGACAAAUAUAAUUGGUAUUUGAUUGAUCCUUUAUUAAAGAUUAAAAGAUUAAGUUACUUUAGGGAUAACAGCGUAAUCUUCUUUGAGAGUUCAUAUCGACAAGAAGGUUUGCGACCUCGAUGUUGAAUUAAGGUAUCCUUAUGAUGCAGCAGUUAUAAAGG
rnacentral:rRNA from 1 species